CCAGCACCCCGAGUGGUCGGGACGUUUAUUGGGCCUAAAGCAUCCGUAGCCGGUUCUGCAAGUCUUCCGUUAAAUCCACCUGCUUAACAGAUGGGCCGCGGAAGAUACUAUAGAGCUAGGAGGCGGGAGAGGCAAGCGGUACUCGAUGGGUAGGGGUAAAAUCCGUUGAUCCAUUGAAGACCACCAGUGGCGAAGGCGGCUUGCCAGAACGCGCUCGACGGUGAGGGAUGAAAGCUGGGGGAGCAAACCGGAUUAGAUACCCGGGUAGUCCCAGCUGUAAACGAUGCAGACUCGGUGAUGAAUUGGUUUAUGCCAAUUCAGUGCCGCAGGGAAGCCGUUAAGUUUGCCGCCUGGGGAGUACGGUCGCAAGACUG
rnacentral:rRNA from 1 species